AAAAACAUUUGGCACAUCUCACGGCUGAAAGCUUUGAAUUUCCGCCAAAACAUUUCAAGAUUUAGUAAAACCAAGCUUUAAAUUUAAAUUUAGCGUAUGCUGCUAAUUGUGGCGCG
rnacentral:snRNA from 1 species